rnacentral:rRNA from 1 species
ACCAGCUUGAAACUCAAAGGACUUGACAGUAUCUCAUACACCCCUAGAGGAGCCUGUCCUAUAAUCGAUAACCCACGAUAUACCUCACCCGUCCUAGCACCACUCAGCCUAUAUACCUCCGUCGCCAGUCCGCCUGUUAACAGACACUAAAGCGAAUAUAAUAGUCAACCCCUCAUACGACAGGUCAAGGUGUAGCUAAUGAACUGGGCAAAGAUGGGCUACAUUUUCUUUAUUAGAAAAUACCCACGUACUAUGCAAACUGUACAAAAGGUGGAUUUAGCAGUAAGCGGGACAAGGCAAGCCCAUCUGAAGCCAACCAUGAGAUGUGUACACACCGCCCGUCAUCCUCCUCAAAAAUACAUAAACUUAACUAAAAACCCAACAGGAUUAAAGAUGAGGCAAGUCGUAACAUGGUAAGCGUACUGGAA